CCUACGGGUGGCAGCAGUGGGGAAUAUUGGGCAAUGGGCGCAAGCCUGACCCAGCAACGCCGCGUGAAGGAAGAAGGCUUUCGGGUUGUAAACUUCUUUUCUCAGGGACGAAGAAAGUGACGGUACCUGAGGAAUAAGCCACGGCUAACUACGUGCCAGCGGCCGCGGUAAUACGUAGGUGGCAAGCGUUAUCCGGAUUUACUGGGUGUAAAGGGCGUGUAGGCGGGGAAGCAAGUCAGAUGGGAAAACCACGGGCUCAACCUGUGGCCUGCAUUUGAAACUGUUUUUCUUGAGUACUGGAGAGGCAGACGGAAUUCCUGGUGUAGCGGUGAAAUGCGUAGAGAUUAGGAGGAACACCAGUGGCGAAGGCGGUCUGCUGGACAGCAACUGACGCUGAGGCGCGAAAGCGUGGGGAGCAAACAGGAUUAGAUACCCGUGUAGUC
rnacentral:rRNA from 1 species